ACAGCUCUGUUUCUUGAGCACCCAGCCCAACGGUAUUGUGGAGAUGGAAUAACAAUCACCAUGAGCACAGGUCACUGCUGACAAAGGGACUUGCUUUCUCUCUAAACCAUUUGACUUUGUUGGUGCCCAGGGCAGGAUGCUCCAAAAUAUGCCUCAGUGGAAUAUUACUUUGAAUUAAAGUUACUGAAGAAAUGACUGAUGCAAGAGAGACACACUGACCUUCCUCUCUGUCUCCAUGAAAGCAGGAAAUUAAUAUCUCAUGUGAAUGGUGCCCUCCCUGUACCAGGAGGUAGAAAGACAUCAUUAGCACCAGAGAUAGGGAAUGCAGGGUCAAGAAGGCUGUAUAAACCUUGUUACUUCUUUAACUCAAGAAGGUUGGCAGGGACAUUUCUUCCUCCUCAACAGCUGACAAGACAACCAGGAGGCUGGCUAAACCCUGCUUCCCACCACAAGACUGCUGCAGCUGAGAGAUCCUAGGACACAUGACAAAGGCCAGCAGAAGCAAUGCCUCUUAUUCAAUACCUGAUUGCUUGUACAGUCAGCUUAACUUCUACUUGGAAAUACUGCUUUGGAAGAGAAAAUUAAGAAAAAAGCAUCAUUAAAAAAGAGACAAGGUUGGGCUUCCCUGGUGGCGCAGUGGUUGAGAGU